rnacentral:rRNA from 1 species
AGAGUUUGAUCAUGGCUCAGAUUGAACGCUGGCGGCAGGCUUAACACAUGCAAGUCGAACGAUGACUCUCUAGCUUGCUAGAGAUGAUUAGUGGCGGACGGGUGAGUAACAUUUAGGAAUCUGCCUAGUAGUGGGGGAUAGCUCGGGGAAACUCGAAUUAAUACCGCAUACGACCUAUGGGUGAAAGGGGGCGCAAGCUCUUGCUAUUAGAUGAGCCUAAAUCAGAUUAGCUAGUUGGUGGGGUGAAGGCCCACCAAGGCGACGAUCUGUAACUGGUCUGAGAGGAUGAUCAGUCACACCGGAACUGAGACACGGUCCGGACUCCUACGGGAGGCAGCAGUGGGGAAUAUUGGACAAUGGGGGCAACCCUGAUCCAGCCAUGCCGCGUGUGUGAAGAAGGCCUUUUGGUUGUAAAGCACUUUAAGCAGGGAGGAGAGGCUAAUGGUUAAUACCCAUUAGAUUAGACGUUACCUGCAGAAUAAGCACCGGCUAACUCUGUGCCAGCAGCCGCGGUAAUACAGAGGGUGCGAGCGUUAAUCGGAAUUACUGGGCGUAAAGCGAGUGUAGGUGGCUCAUUAAGUCACAUGUGAAAUCCCCGGGCUUAACCUGAGAACUGCAUGUGAUACUGGUGGUGCUAGAAUAUGUGAGAGGGAAGUAGAAUUCCAGGUGUAGCGGUGAAAUGCGUAGAGAUCUGGAGGAAUACCGAUGGCGAAGGCAGCUUCCUGGCAUAAUAUUGACACUGAGAUUCGAAAGCGUGGGUAGCAAACAGGAUUAGAUACCCUGGUAGUCCACGCCGUAAACGAUGUCUACUAGCCGUUGGGGUCCUUGAGACUUUAGUGGCGCAGGUUAACGCGAUAAGUAGACCGCCUGGGAGUACGGCGCAGGUUAAAACUCAAUGAAUUGACGG